rnacentral:rRNA from 1 species
UACGAAGGGGGCUAGCGUUGCUCGGAAUCACUGGGCGUAAAGCGCACGUAGGCGGCUUUUUAAGUCAGAGGUGAAAUCCUGGAGCUCAACUCCAGAACUGCCUUUGAUACUGGAGAGCUUGAGUCCGAGAGAGGUGAGUGGAACUGCGAGUGUAGAGGUGAAAUUCGUAGAUAUUCGCAAGAACACCAGUGGCGAAGGCGGCUCACUGGCCCGGUACUGACGCUGAGGUGCGAAAGCGUGGGGAGCAAACAGG